UGAGGAAUAUUGGUCAAUGGACGAGAGUCUGAACCAGCCAAGUAGCGUGAAGGAUGACUGCCCUAUGGGUUGUAAACUUCUUUUAUAUGGGAAUAAAGUUCAGUAUGUAUACUGUUUUGUAUGUACCAUAUGAAUAAGGAUCGGCUAACUCCGUGCCAGCAGCCGCGGUAAUACGGAGGAUCCGAGCGUUAUCCGGAUUUAUUGGGUUUAAAGGGAGCGUAGGCGGACGCUUAAGUCAGUUGUGAAAGUUUGCGGCUCAACCGUAAAAUUGCAGUUGAUACUGGGUGUCUUGAGUGCAGCAGA
rnacentral:rRNA from 1 species